rnacentral:lncRNA from 1 species
CUAACUCCUGGGGACCUGAACAGCUCUAACAGAGUGGACCACGGGGCAGGAGACAGGAUAAAUUCCUUGCAAUUGCUGAUCCGGAGGAGGAACCAUUUGAAAGGCCUUGCUUGGUGUUGCCUAGUUGCCUCCUGAAAUGUCACGCUGCUUUGUGUGGACAUUUUCCAGCAGAGUGUGAGAAUGCCCGGAGAACAUUGCGAGUACUUAAAGCAGUGACACCCCGGUAGCAAUGAGCACACCCAGUGCCUCCAUCUUGGUCCCUAAGCACCGAGGUGCUGGAGCUUGGCUGAGGCCAGCUAUGGAGCAGGAAAAGCACAAGAUGAGCCUGGAACGUCUUUUGUGUCAGAACACAAGGAGGAUGAAAGACGAAUGGAAGUCAUCUCAAAAGAACACAGGAGCCAAGCUGAAGGGGCUUCCUCUGAACAAACGUGGCCCAAUUUGAGGCACUCCUGUGAAUUAUGGGUCCUUAGAGAUGUCCCCCCAAAAUAAAUACAGAGAGAGCGAGGAGAGGAGGGAAAGCUCUCUCUCUCCGUUUUUAAACCCAAGAAGGUGUACUUGCAUAUGUAAAAGGAGUGCUAGAACUAGAAAAGCAUUCCACAAGCUCCAGUGUAGUCAUUGAUUUAGGCAAAGAUGGUUAAUGGAUGUCAAAAUCAUUAGGUGAAAGGUCACUGGACAACUGCUCAGUGUCAAAGUAGCACUCCACAAAAUUACUUAUUUCAAAGAGAAAAAUAUACCUUUAUGAUGGAAAUACCUGGAGGUCGUCACCCCAACCAGAAGCUCAAAUAGCAGCACGCAGAGCAAGGUGACCUGGUGGAAUGUGCCUUUUGGUGUGAUGCAAUGUGGAGUCCGCACAAGCACUUAUGAGAUAUUCUUACCAAAAUUUGUUUAACCCAAAUCUAUUCAAGCGUCUAAACCCAACUUCUAGUUUAUAAGGAAUAUGAGGAUUGAGGAACAAGUGACAUAACAUCC